GAUGAACGCUGGCGGCGUGCCUAAUACAUGCAAGUCGAGCGAACGGACGAGAAGCUUGCUUCUCUGAUGUUAGCGGCGGACGGGUGAGUAACACGUGGAUAACCUACCUAUAAGACUGGGAUAACUUCGGGAAACCGGAGCUAAUACCGGAUAAUAUUUUGAACCGCAUGGUUCAAAAGUAAAAGACGGUCUUGCUGUCACUUAUAGAUGGAUCCGCGCUGCAUUAGCUAGUUGGUAAGGUAACGGCUUACCAAGGCAACGAUGCAUAGCCGACCUGAGAGGGUGAUCGGCCACACUGGAACUGAGACACGGUCCAGACUCCUACGGGAGGCAGCAGUAGGGAAUCUUCCGCAAUGGGCGAAAGCCUGACGGAGCAACGCCGCGUGAGUGAUGAAGGUCUUCGGAUCGUAAAACUCUGUUAUUAGGGAAGAAUAUAUGUGUAAGUAACUGUGCACAUCUUGACGGUACCUAAUCAGAAAGCCACGGCUAACUACGUGCCAGCAGCCGCGGUAAUACGUAGGUGGCAAGCGUUAUCCGGAAUUAUUGGGCGUAAAGCGCGCGUAGGCGGUUUUUUAAGUCUGAUGUGAAAGCCCACGGCUCAACCGUGGAGGGUCAUUGGAAACUGGAAAACUUGAGUGCAGAAGAGGAAAGUGGCAUUCCAUGUGUAGCGGUGAAAUGCGCAGAGAUAUGGAGGAACACCAGUGGCGAAGGCGACUUUCUGGUCUGUAACUGACGCUGAUGUGCGAAAGCGUGGGGAUCAAACAGGAUUAGAUACCCUGGUAGUCCACGCCGUAAACGAUGAGUGCUAAGUGUUAGGGGGUUUCCGCCCCUUAGUGCUGCAGCUAACGCAUUAAGCACUCCGCCUGGGGAGUACGACCGCAAGGUUGAAACUCAAAGGAAUUGACGGGGACCCGCACAAGCGGUGGAGCAUGUGGUUUAAUUCGAAGCAACGCGAAGAACCUUACCAAAUCUUGACAUCCUUUGACAACUCUAGAGAUAGAGCCUUCCCCUUCGGGGGACAAAGUGACAGGUGGUGCAUGGUUGUCGUCAGCUCGUGUCGUGAGAUGUUGGGUUAAGCCCCGCAACGAGCGCAACCCUUAAGCUUAGUUGCCAUCAUUAAGUUGGGCACUCUAAGUUGACUGCCGGUGACAAACCGGAGGAAGGUGGGGAUGACGUCAAAUCAUCAUGCCCCUUAUGAUUUGGGCUACACACGUGCUACAAUGGACAAUACAAAGGGCAGCGAAACCGCGAGGUCAAGCAAAUCCCAUAAAGUUGUUCUCAGUUCGGAUUGUAGUCUGCAACUCGACUACAUGAAGCUGGAAUCGCUAGUAAUCGUAGAUCAGCAUGCUACGGUGAAUACGUUCCCGGGUCU
rnacentral:rRNA from 1 species